UGCUGGAUCAUUACCCACGUGAUCGCAUUCACCAACUACCUGGUUGUAUGUGGCUGAAGUUGAGCGCACACAUCCCUCCACAAAGGCUGCAAGUACAUGCCUUGAGGCGAUGAGUCCAGUCUCCGCGGAGAUGUCAAUUCAGUCAUGACAACGGCACUGAGGGCUUUCUUUGUGAGCAAGAAGAUGGGGUGUUUUUGGUGCCAGUGGCGCACUUGUCCCUCCGAUCAAGGCUGCAAGUAUAUGCCUGAGGCGACAAGUCCAAGCGACCUUCGGGCUGCUGCACUGUGCAUUGAUGGCACGCCCUCGGGGCACACUAACGGCUAUGCUGGCGUCUGUGCGUUGUUGAGCAGUUGUUGUGCACUUGUUGUUGCGCAUUGCGCUUAAGCAUGCUGGCGUGGAAGUUGAUUGUCUAUUCCACGUCUUACACACCGUAACUCGGGCAUGCUCUGGCACUUUGUGUUGCACUUGUGUGCUACGUCCGUGGCUGUGAUGAGAUAACGCGGUAGGGCUCGUGCUUGACUGGCGCGUGGCUUAAGACUCAAUGAGUGCCCGGCAUGGCACCGCCAGCAAACCUUUUUUCAAAUAAUUUUUUAAUGUGCCUUCGGGUACGGAGAGAUAAUUCUAGUCUUAUCGGUGGAUCACUCGGCUCGUAGAUCGAUGAAGAACGCAGCCAACUGCGAUAUGUAGUGUGAACUGCAGAAACUUUGAACACUGAACAUUCGAAUGCACAUUGCGCCAUUGGAGUAACAUCCUCUGGCACGUCUGGUUCAGGGUCAUUUCCGUAAAACGCACAGCGGAUGCGUGUGAGCGAGAGAGAUCAAUUAUGAACACCAGUAGGGAGGUUGUUCUCGGAAGUGUGUGAAGCUGGCGGAGUUGCAUGAGUUGCGCUGGCACGGAAGCUGUCUGUUUUGCUCCGUGUCUUACACACCGUAACCAGGGCGUGACUCGUGCUCUCUUAAGGUAGCCAAAUGCCUCGUCCUCUAAUAGUGGAGUGUGGUGUUGAGGCAAAGAAUGUACACACAUAUUGACCUGAACUCAGUCGUGAACACCCGCUGAACUUAAGCAUAUCAGUAAGCGGAGGAAAAGAAACUAACGAGGAUUCCCGUAGUAACGGCGAGUGAACUGGGACAAGUCCAGCGCUGAAUCGUGGCGCCUCUGGUGCCGCGAGGUGUAGCGUAUAGGCCGUGAGCUUGGGUUGGCCCGCCCGUUCAAGUUUCCCUUGACCGGGGCUCCACAGAAGGUGCAAGACCUGUCGAGCGGGUGGUGUCCAGUCCAACUUUGCGUGUCUUGGAGUCGGGUUGUCUGGGAGUACAGCUCAAAGAAGGUGGUAAACUUCAUCUAAGACUGAAUAUGGCUACGAGUCCGAUAGCGAACAAGUACUGUGAAGGAAAGUUGCAAAGCACUUUGAAGAGAGAGUUAAAGAGGACAUGAAACCGAUGAGGUGGAAACGGACAGAGCUGGCGUAUCUGGCCCGUAUUCAGCCGCAGGUUAUUGGGCGACACGGUCGCCGCUCUCCAGAUUGGGACGGUUGCUUGUCUGUCCGGUUGCUUGUAGUGCAUUUGCGGGUGGAGUGCGCCGAGGUGCUUGGGGCAGCUGCGCGAUCUCGGUUUUGAGGCCAGCUCCUCUGGAGUCUGGUACACGGACCGUGGGAGUGUUGUUUGCUCCGGGUGUUGUGGCAUUGGUUUCGGGCUCUUGUAGGCGCCGAGCUGUCAGUUGGAGGCGGUCGCUUGCGACACGUGCCUGCGGUCGGUUCGGUCCUGCUUGGGCUCUCCUUGUGCUCGUCCUCGGUGUAAAAGCCGGUCAUCUGUCCGACCCGUCUUGAAACACGGACCAAGGAGUUUAGCGUGUGCGCGAGUCAUUGGGUGUUAAAAACUCAAAGGCGUAAUGAAAGUGAAGGUCUCCCUUGUGGAGCUGAUGUGCGAUCCUGGGCACUGCGGUGCUCGGGCGCAGCAUGGUCCCGUUCUGACCGCAUGCGGUGGGGCGGAGACAGAGCGUACGCGCUGAGACCCGAAAGAUGGUGAACUAUUCCUGAGCAGGAUGAAGCCAGUGGAAACUCUGGUGGAAGUCCGAAGCGGUUCUGACGUGCAAAUCGAUCGUCUGACUUGGGUAUAGGGGCGAAAGACUAAUCGAACCAUCUAGUAGCUGGUUCCCUC
rnacentral:misc_RNA from 1 species